rnacentral:rRNA from 1 species
UACAGAGGGUGCAAGCGUUAAUCGGAAUUACUGGGCGUAAAGCGUGCGCAGGCGGUUAUGUAAGACAGAUGUGAAAUCCCCGGGCUCAACCUGGGAACUGCAUUUGUGACUGCAUAGCUAGAGUACGGGUAGAGGGGGAUGGAAUUCCGCGUGUAGCAGUGAAAUGCGUAGAUAUGCGGAGGAACACCGAUGGCGAAGGCAAUCCCCUGGACCUGUACUGACGCUCAUGCACGAAAGGCGUGGG